rnacentral:rRNA from 1 species
UACAGAGGGUGCAAGCGUUAAUCGGAAUUACUGGGCGUAAAGCGCGCGUAGGCGGCUUUUCAAGUCGAUUGUGAAAUCCCCGGGCUUAACCUGGGAACUGCAGUCGAGACUGUCUAGCUAGAGUAUGGGAGAGGGAAGUGGAAUUUCAGGUGUAGCGGUGAAAUGCGUAGAUAUCUGAAGGAACAUCAGUGGCGAAAGCGACUUCCUGGACCAAUACUGACGCUCAUGUGCGAAAGCGUGGGGAGCAAACAGG